rfam:Domibacillus antri strain XD80 WGS_contig_8, whole genome shotgun sequence.
AUAAAGCCUAAGACGAAGAAAAGUAAUGAAAAACCGGCCGGACAGAGAAAAAUGCCUUGACUGAGAGCAUUUACGGUACGCCUUCAUGAACAGACACUUCCGAGGCGUUUUUCUGAAAGGCAGUAGGAAAAACCGCGUAUUGCGUUAUCAAAAAAGUGAAAGCUCCGGCUUUAACGAGGGUGGCACCGCGGAAAACUUCCGUCCCUGCA